rnacentral:rRNA from 1 species
AUACGGAGGAUGCAAGCGUUAUCCGGAUUUAUUGGGUUUAAAGGGUGCGUAGGCUGUUUGGAAAGUCAGGGGUGAAAGCCCGGCGCCUAACGCCGGAACUGCCUUUGAUACUUCCAAGCUGGAAUACGGAUGCCGUGGGAGGAAUGAGUAGUGUAGCGGUGAAAUGCAUAGAUAUUACUCAGAACACCGAUUGCGAAGGCAUCUCACGAAUCCGUCAUUGACGCUGAGGCACGAAAGCGUGGGGAUCAAACAGGAUUAGAUACCCUGGUAGUCCACGCAGUAAACGAUGAUAACUAACCGUCGGCGAUACACAGUCGGUGGCCAAGCGAAAGCGAUAAGUUAUCCACCUGGGGAGUACGUUCGCAAGAAUGAAACUCAAAGGAAUUGACGGGG